AGAGUUUGAUCAUGGCUCAGAACGAACGCUGGCGGCGUGGAUAAGACAUGCAAGUCGAACGGGAUUUCAUUUGUAGCAAUACACGUGAAGUUCAGUGGCGUAAGGGUGCGUAACACGUGGGCAAUCUGCCGAGAUGUGGGGGAUAGCUCGCCGAAAGGCGAAUUAAUACCGCAUGUGGUUAGUGCUGGAUUCAGCGCGACACCAAAGCCGGGGCAACCUGGCGCAUCUUGAUGAGCCCGCGGCCUAUCAGCUAGUUGGUGAGGUAACGGCUCACCAAGGCUAUGACGGGUAGCUGGUCUGAGAGGACGACCAGCCACACUGGAACUGAGACACGGUCCAGACACCUACGGGUGGCAGCAGUCGAGAAUUUUUCUCAAUGGGGGAAACCCUGAAGGAGCGACGCCGCGUGGAGGAUGAAGGUCUUCGGAUUGUAAACUCCUGUCAUUUGGGAACAAUUGUUGGCGAUUAACUGUCGUCAGCUUGAUAGUACCAGAAGAGGAAGAGACGGCUAACUCUGUGCCAGCAGCCGCGGUAAUACAGAGGUCUCAAGCGUUGUACGGAUUCAUUGGGCGUAAAGGGUGCGUAGGUGGCGAGGUUAGUCAGGUGUGAAAUCUCGGGGCUCAACCCCGAAACUGCACUUGAUACUGCCUUGCUAGAGUACUGGAGAGGAGAUUGGAAUUUACGGUGUAGCAGUGAAAUGCGUAGAUGUCGUAAGGAAGACCAGUGGCGAAGGCGAAUCUCUGGACAGUUACUGACACUAGGCCGAAGCCAGGGGAGCAAACGGGAUUAGAUACCCUAGUAGUCC
rnacentral:rRNA from 1 species